rnacentral:miRNA from 1 species
AUGCGAAGGCGAGAGAAAGAGAGCGAGGAAAAAUGGGAGGGGCGAGAAAGAAAUAGCUAUUUCUUUUUCGCCCCUCCCAUUUUUCCUCGCUCUCUUUCUCUCGCCUUCGCAUC